GAAUUUUCGGCAAUGGGCGAAAGCCUGACCGAGCAACGCCGCGUGAAGGAAGAAGGUCUUCGGAUUGUAAACUUCUGUUGUAGAGGAAGAAUGUGUAUAUCAGGGAAUGGAUAUAUAAUGACGGUACUUUACGAGAAAGCCACGGCUAACUACGUGCCAGCAGCCGCGGUAAUACGUAGGUGCGCGAGCGUUAUCCGGAAUUAUUGGGCGUAAAGAGGGAGCAGGCGGCAGCAAAGGUCCGAGGUAAAAGCCUGAAGCUCAACUUCAGUAAGCCUUGGAAACCAAGCAGCUAGAGGCCAGUAGAGGAAUGCGGAAUUCCAUGUGUAGCGGUG
rnacentral:rRNA from 1 species